UAAAGUUGCUGCAGUUAAAAAGCUCGUAGUUGAAUUUUGGGACCAUCAUGUCGGUCGUGCCUCGGUACGUACUGGUAUUGUUGGUUUCUCCCUUCUGACGAACCAUGAUGUCAUUUAUUUGGUGUUGUGGGGAAUCAGGACUGUUACUUUGAAAAAAUUAGAGUGUUUAAAGCAGGCUCACGCUUGAAUACAUUAGCAUGGAAUAAUGAAAUAGGACGUUUGAUUCUAUUUUGUUGGUUUCUAGGAUCGACGUAAUGAUUAAUAGGG
rnacentral:rRNA from 1 species